UGAACGCUGGCGGCGUGCCUAAUACAUGCAAGUCGAGCGAACGGACGAGAAGCUUGCUUCUCUGAUGUUAGCGGCGGACGGGUGAGUAACACGUGGAUAACCUACCUAUAAGACUGGGAUAACUUCGGGAAACCGGAGCUAAUACCGGAUGAUAUUUUGAACCGCAUGGUUCAAAAGUGAAAGACGGUCUUGCUGUCACUUAUAGAUGGAUCCGCGCUGUAUUAGCUAGUUGGUAAGGUAACGGCUUACCAAGGCAACGAUGCAUAGCCGACCUGAGAGGGUGAUCGGCCACACUGGAACUGAGACACGGUCCAGACUCCUACGGGAGGCAGCAGUAGGGAAUCUUCCGCAAUGGGCGAAAGCCUGACGGAGCAACGCCGCGUGAGUGAUGAAGGUCUUCGGAUCGUAAAACUCUGUUAUUAGGGAAGAACAUAUGUGUAAGUAACUGUGCACAUCUUGACGGUACCUAAUCAGAAAGCCACGGCUAACUACGUG
rnacentral:rRNA from 1 species